rnacentral:rRNA from 1 species
GGGGAAUUUUGGACAAUGGGGGCAACCCUGAUCCAGCCAUGCCGCGUGAGUGAAGAAGGCCUUCGGGUUGUAAAGCUCUUUCGGCCGGGAAGAAAUCGUGGUCUCUAACAUAGGCCAUGGAUGACGGUACCGGACUAAGAAGCACCGGCUAACUACGUGCCAGCAGCCGCGGUAAUACGUAGGGUGCGAGCGUUAAUCGGAAUUACUGGGCGUAAAGCGUGCGCAGGCGGUUUUGUAAGACAGAUGUGAAAUCCCCGGGCUUAACCUGGGAACUGCGUUUGUGACUGCAAGGCUAGAGUACGGCAGAGGGGGGUGGAAUUCCUGGUGUAGCAGUGAAAUGCGUAGAGAUCAGGAGGAACACCGAUGGCGAAGGCAGCCCCCUGGGCCUGUACUGACGCUCAUGCACGAAAGCGUGGGGAGCAAAC